rnacentral:rRNA from 1 species
GACGAACCGUACAAACGUUAUUCGGAAUUACUGGGCUUAAAGGGUGCGUAGGCGGCGCGGAAAGUAGGGUGUGAAAUCCCUCGGCUCAACCGAGGAAUUGCGCCCUAAACUACCGUGCUUGAGGGAGAUAGAGGUGAGCGGAACUUAGGGUGGAGCGGUGAAAUGCGUUGAUAUCGGAAGGAACGCCGGUGGCGAAAGCGGCACACUGGAUCUCAACUGACGCUGAGGCACGAAAGCCAGGGGAGCGAACGGG